rnacentral:rRNA from 1 species
UACGAGGGGGGCAAGCGUUGUUCGGAUUCAUUGGGCGUAAAGGGUGCGUAGGCGGCGCGGUAAGUCGGAUGUGAAAUCUCGGGGCUUAACUCCGAAACUGCAUUCGAUACUACCGUGCUUGAGGACUGGAGAGGAGACUGGAAUUUACGGUGUAGCGGUGAAAUGCGUAGAUAUCGUAAGGAAGACCAGUGGCGAAGGCGGGUCUCUGGACAGUUCCUGACGCUGAGGCACGAAGGCCAGGGGAGCAAACGGG